AUUGAACGCUGGCGGCAGGCCUAACACAUGCAAGUCGAGCGGAUGAAGGGAGCUUGCUCCUGGAUUCAGCGGCGGACGGGUGAGUAAUGCCUAGGAAUCUGCCUGGUAGUGGGGGAUAACGUCCGGAAACGGGCGCUAAUACCGCAUACGUCCUGAGGGAGAAAGUGGGGGAUCUUCGGACCUCACGCUAUCAGAUGAGCCUAGGUCGGAUUAGCUAGUUGGUGGGGUAAAGGCCUACCAAGGCGACGAUCCGUAACUGGUCUGAGAGGAUGAUCAGUCACACUGGAACUGAGACACGGUCCAGACUCCUACGGGGGGCAGCAGUAGGGAAUAUUGGACAAUGGGCGAAAGCCGGAUCCAGCCAUGCCGCGUGUGUGGAGAAGGUCUUCUGAUUGUAAAGCACUUUAAGUUGGGAGGAAGGGCAGUAAGUUAAUACCUUGCUGUUUUGACGUUACCAACAGAAUAAGCACCGGCUAACUUCGUG
rnacentral:rRNA from 1 species